rnacentral:lncRNA from 1 species
CGCUGCUGCCGGGGGGCGCUGCUGCUGGGGGGGCGCUGCCGCGGGGGCGCUGUUGCUGUGGCGCGGGUCCCCGCCCUCCUCCGCGAGCGCCCGUUUCGCAGGCCCGCCGGCAGAGGGCAACCUUGUUCCAAGUUCUCUCCCGGCCUGGGCUCCGCUCCCGGAGGCCCUCACCUGCCCGAAGCUGGGGAGCUGGGGAGGGGCCGAGCGCCUCUGGCCUGCUGCGGAGCUGCCCUGUCACUCCUCCCCUUGAGAGCUGUUUACAUCCCAAGGAGCCACAAAGUCUCCACACAGCAAGGAAGUCGGCCAGGGAAGGCCGGGCCCACGCAGGGUCACUGAACUCACCCCCAAAUGAUCCUGCAGAUGGCAACAGAGGCCCAGGAAACGUGCCUCAUCCUGGAGGGAGCCCAGAUCUCUGGGGGUGUGAGGAAGGCUGAGCCCUCCCCCCACCAAAGCAAAGCAAGGUGAUUUGAAGAAAUCCAGGCAAGGGAGAGCAUCUUUCGCUUCCAUCCUCCAUCGUUUGUAACUCAGAAAGAAAUUAUUUUGAAUCCUAAAAUUGACAUGAAGAAAGAAAAAAGCAAUUAAAAUAAAAAGGACAUCCAAAGGCAAAAUUAAACUUUACCUCUGGAUGGAAAAGCCACAUGGUCUGUCACAAGUCACAGGAGUAGAAAAGGGCAGAGGGGCGUCCCUGGGUGGCUCAGUGGUUGAGGGUCUGCCUUCAGCUCAGGGCAUGAUCCUGGGGUCCCGGGAUCGAGUCCCACGUCAGGCUCCCCACAGGGAGCUGCUUCUCCCUCUGCCUGUGUCUCUGCCUCUCUCUGUGUGUCUCUCAUGAAUAAACACAUAAAUCUUAAAUAUAUAUAUGUAUGUACGUAUUUGUUUUUUACCUGAAAGCCCAACCUCAUCAGGCAUCUGGAUUUGAUAUGCCAAGCAUACCUGUAAGUGUGAGUUCUGGCACGGCAUCUCCAUCAUUCUGACAGUGUUCGGUUUUCCUGUGACCUACCCAUAACCACCAACUCAAUUCCUGACGGGGCCCUGGGCAGCUAACAUCAAUGUACGGAUGAGGUGAUCAACAGGAGAAAUUGGGCCUGGAGCUGAA